AUUGCAGUCAUCCAACAAAUUCCUGUCAAUAUAUGUAUUAUAUAUGCAUGCAAAUAAGUAUAAAUGUUUAAAUCGUGUCCAGUUUUAAGUAAUAUAUUAUAUUUUUAUUUUAAAAAACAUAACUGAUUACGCUCAAAGUUUCCCGAAAUUAUAAUCAAGAUGAAAUACGUUUUCAUUGAAUAUACAGAAAUACGACAACUUUAAUUAACAAAUUUACGUAAUUUUUCUUUUUUCCAGUACAUGGAUGUAUUUCAAUUUAAUACAUACUUAAAAAUAAUGUGAACACUCUAAAUUCUAAAUUAAAUAAGUACAUAAACUACACUGGCUAAAUCCAGAAGAAACUUUAUUAUGUUAACGUUACUUUGGAUUUUACAUAUACAAAUAGUUUACUUAAUAUAAAUAUAAUUUAAAGUUCACUUAUGUACUUCUCAAUAAGACCGAAUUAUUUUCAAGGAUGAAUAAUUAUGUGAAGGUGACAAUUAUACUUAAUUAUAUUUACCAAAAUGUUGAAAAUAACUUCAGUAGAAAGGGCACUCUCAAUAAUUAAUUUAUAAGUACAUACGAGUGCUACCCGCGAAUCCACUAUGCCAUUCUACCGCCUCGCUAACAAUUUACCACCUUAGGGUAACAUAUAUAUAUGCAGUGGCUAAAUACAGCUCAGCCCCCAAUGUCAACGCUGUGGUAAUAAAAGUGAGUAUUACCGACACGGGAGGUAAUUUCUUACCAUUAUGUAGAAGACAACUUAAGUAUUACUAUCAUGUUACCACGCGGUAGAAUUGCAUAGUAACUCCGUAUUUAACAAUUUUAUCACCAAAUUAUUGAGAGUGUAGUAAUUUACAUAUUUAUGAUAUGAAUGAGUUGCGUGGGUGAAUUGACAAAUGUGAGACCAAACAGUAAGCAUGUGAAGUAUUUAUUUUAGGGAACACUUGAAUAAUUGACAGGUCAUACUCGAGUGACGUGCGCCAUGAAUGACCUGAGAGAUACAUAUAUGAUGUUGUAACGCAUCAGAUCGGUGACAAUUACUUUGCACGGGCCCUUGUUUAAAUUUGGAUUGGACAAGACGCCAUCCUCAAGUUUAAGUAUAUCUCAUUUAUUUAUCUAACAUGCAGUUGAUAAUACUUUACGUUUUAAUAAAUUGAUCACCUCCGAGUUAUACAUACAAGCUAGGAAAAUACAGAAAGGACAAGCCUAGCGUAUCUUUAGAAUGUAAGGAGCCCUUCAUGAAAUAUGUAACGCGAGAGGAGGGAGUGGCAGUAUAAACAAAUCAUGUCUUUUGCGUUACAUAACUUAUGAACGGCCCAUCAAUGCCAGAAAAGUAUUUAUAUUUAAUCAUUGAGCUUUAAUGCCUCGAACAAAAAAAGAAAUUUGUGACACUCUCACAUUUAAACCUUUGUUCUUUUUGUAAACAUUUACUCGAUAAAGUUCCACCUGCCUAGGCCACGUACCAAGGUGACCUGUUGUUUAGUCUAAUCAAAUAACUCAAUAUAAUCCAACGUACUGCAAAAUUCGCUGAAACAAAAUGAAAUUAAGCUUGUUCCUACUUAUCUUACCAAUUUCCCAAUUUUUCUUUUCAUCUUUUGGUUUAGAAUUCCUUCCGAACAAGAUUUUUUAAGAAGUGCUCAAAUUGGUUAUCUUACUUCCUCUGUGUUGGUAAUGAUUGGCCUUCAUCGUGACGAGGUGUACCAAUUAAUGGCCAGUUACACUGACCACGCCCUUCUUCACUUUUCCAGCGAAAUAUCGAUUACCGCCGGAUCGAUGAAUUUUAUGAAAUUCAGACAAUCCUGUAGCUUAGUCUUUCACCGCAUUUUGCAACAAACAUCAUAUGGGGCAAACUGGGACAACUUCCCUGGUGGGGCGGCACGUUCCUAUCACGUCUUGUCAAUGACAAAUCUUCCCCUAGAUAUAGACUUGUUCAAAAUGAAAAGAAAAUGUCGGCACGUUAUAAGUGUCUUGCUUGGCUCUAGUUUAUCUUUUUACGAUUUCGACGCUGUCUGGGCUUUUCGCAGAAUUCAAAAUUCCUCGGAAAUAUUUCGAGAUCGGUCAAAUUUUAAUGGAAAACCUUUCAUCUGGGAGUAUAACAGGUCGCGAAAAGAAACCCUUAAUCAAACAAUAAUUUCAACAUAUAUCGAAUCCCGCCAUACUGUUGAUCGACGUCCAUCCUUCUUGACCGAAACGAGCGCCUGGCUAAACGCGACUUCCGUCGUUAACACGGAACUUCGCGAGUAUGGAAAGCUUGACCCAAUGACGGGCGAGUGGAGCGGAAUCGUAGGAGCGUUAGUUAAUGGGAGGGCACAUUCGGCGGGAUGGCUACCACUCACACAUGACAGGGCAAAAGAUACGCUAAUUACCACUGUGGGUGCGGUCGAUGGUCUAAUCUUUGUGUCAGGUCUGAAUUUAAGAGGCAACAGUGACGCUGGCAGGAUUGGGACCGUGCUAUCGGAGUUUGCCAGAUCGAAGGUGUGCAUUUUCGAAAUGGUUGCGGUGGGUGUAAUAUCGAUCGUGAUUAUGUUGGCCAUUAAAGGUUUGCCCCAAAUGGAUACACCAGUCCAGUGUUUAGUACGCGUUCACAGCGAACUUAUCAGAGUCUCGUUGGAUCAACCGUUCAGCUUUGUUUUCAGCAAGUAAGAGAACAUUUGUUGGGAGAGCUGCGAAAAUUGUAAAACAAAACCUCAAUUGCCGUAGGACCACAGGCGUUUUAAACUUGAAAUCUCCUUCAAAAACUAAUUAAACAUGUCUUUACAAAUAUUUGCAAUUAUCUGCUGUAAAAAUUAAUCGAGUUGGCCAAUGUUGCUUUCAGGCUAGGGGCAGGCCCCUCGCACGUUAUUCGGCUAAUACUUGCACCCUGGCUCCUUGGACUUUACUUGCUGAACUCUGAAUUCCGAACACAGCUUGUUACAUCGCUCACGAAGGGUGAUGUGUUGAUGCCCCCACAAACAUUUGAAGAACUUGCUGGAAGACACGAUUACUCCAUAAAUUUGAAUGGAGCUAAUGAAACCCCUUCGGCUGCACGUUUUUUGUCUUUAAAAAACAGAAAUGUCCUUAUCAACCGGAUAAACGAGAGAGUUAGUAAAUAUUCAAAACUAUCAGAAACAAAAUCAUGCCUGGCAGAGACACAGGUACAGGAAGUUCGAUCAGUUUGCGUUGGAACGCAAACCUUACUCACGCGUGCUGCUCUUACCGAAUUGUUGACUCAGAAAAGACAACGGCUCUUUAGGAGCUCUAUCGAUAUAUUUGUUCCGUACUUCUUCGUCGUUACCCUCUCACCUGACAUGGGCCAUAUUCACGAUAAGAUCUGUAGAAGAGUGUUCUCCCUGGUGGAGUCUGGCCUUCGUGCAAGGAUGCAAAAUGCAGAGGGAAUUAGUGAAGAAGUUGGAAAACGGAGGGGAGAGUAUAGAUUGCGAACUGGGACUUUAUACCCGGUCGAAAAGGAGAACGGGAAGGUCAAAGAUGUUACCAAGUUUGGAAAAUCAGUUGCAAUUCUGAAAAUUGUUUUCAUGGGAUGUGCCGGUGCAAUGCUUGUCUUCAUAAUAGAACUGCUUGUAAGAAGGUGUGCUAAAGCGAAGUUGAGAAUACUUGAAUUGCUGAUAAUUGCUGUCAAAUGGAUAGAAAAAUGUGUCAGAGAUCUGGCCAACCUCCAAGCUAAUUGGGAAAAACAAAGAAUAGUAUAUAUAUCGUACUUUUCUAAGAAGAAAUGUAAAUUGAAUUGUAGUACGAACCAUUGAUUUUUGAAAAAAUUCGUAAGCUAUUUGAAAGACUAGUACCUUUAGGGGAUCACAUAAUUUAUGAUGUACAUAAAUUUAAUACUAUUCCAUAUUUUAUCCCUGAGACUUAAUUGUAAAUUUAAAUUGUAAAUUGUAUUAAUUAUAUUGCAAAUUAUGCUGCAUAUACAUACAUAAAUUGCUUCAUCAUUGUUCACAGAAUAGUAGCAAGUAGUAGAUGGCUAUACAAUAGAUACCUGUGCUUAGCCUCUUGUGAUAAACAAAUAGGCAAAGUUGCAUUCUGUGGAAUGGAAUUGUCUAGCUUAUUAUUACCAAUUUUCUAAAUACAGAAACGAGAGUAAAUUGUUAGGACAGUUCCCACCACCUGGUCAAAGGAUACGUUUUAUUAAAUUAUUUAGCACUAAAGGAGUAAUUUAAAUAAACCUGUAUACGUGCCUACACAAAGACGGGGGAAUAAGUACUUUCCAAAUAGUAGUUGCAUAUUAUAUAGACAUGUAUAUUGAGUAAUACAAAAUACAACUCUAUCUCCAAAAA